rnacentral:rRNA from 1 species
CCCGCCGGCGACCGGCGCACGGGUGAGUAACGCGUAUGCAACUUACCUAUCAGAGGGGGAUAACCCGGCGAAAGUCGGACUAAUACCGCAUGAAGCAGGGGCCCCGCAUGGGGAUAUUUGCUAAAGAUUCAUCGCUGAUAGAUAGGCAUGCGUUCCAUUAGGCAGUUGGCGGGGUAACGGCCCACCAAACCGACGAUGGAUAGGGGUUCUGAGAGGAAGGUCCCCCACAUUGGUACUGAGACACGGACCAAACUCCUACGGAAGGCAGCAG